rnacentral:lncRNA from 1 species
UGAGAAUGUUUUACUUAUUUUGUAUCUUCUAUAACUUUUUCAUUCAAAUACAUUUAUCAUAUAACAUUAUAAAUUCAUUCCUUUAAUCAUAGCAAAAUCAUUUAUAAAACAUAAAACAAAUAAGAUGCUAAUUUUUACCCUUGUCCUACACACUAUUAGGUAAUUAUUCAAUUUGCCUUUAAAAUCAUGCAUCAAAAUGUUAUAUUUCUUUACUGGAAAUUAAUAUGAAAAUUUAAAUAUUGAACCUGAUAUUGUUGAAAAGAUGUGUUACUAAAUAUAUGCAUUUAGGGGCAAGAAUUUUCUUAUACACUUUCAGUUAAGCAUUUUAAAAAUAUUAUGUUAAUAAAAUAACUUUAAAACACAACAUUAAUGAUUAAAUCACAGAAAAAAAGAAAAAUUGAAAGUUUUAUUUUAUACCUUAUACAUGAACCUAAAACUAAAAUGAUAUGUUAUGAUAAAUGCUUCAACCAAAUGUUUAGAAAUAAAAGUUAAAUCAAGAUAGCCAUGAAUAAAUUAUCAUUAUAAGUUGAUGUUCUUGUGUUUUAAUUUUGUGUUUAAUCUAGAAUUGUAAAUAUUUUAACACAGUAAAUAAAAUAAAUGCAUGUAGAACUUAAAAACAAAAAAACAUGAGUUUACUAUAAUUUUACUUUCAAACUGAUAGCUUCAACUUGUGUUACAUGAAUAAAGGGAGGAAACCCAAUAAAACAGGUGGACAUGAAAAAUAUAGGAAUCAGGGGUAGGAUUGCUAUUGAGACUAUCCAUUAAAGACAAAAGAAAUGACCAUUUGCAGUCACUGAACAGCCUUAAAAAAAAGAUUAAAGCACUGUGAAAAUAUAUUGAUUUUACCAAUUUGUCAUGUUUAUGUAAUUUUUGCCAUAAAUAUUUUGGAAUAAAUGCAUGUCUUUCAAUUUGGUUACUAUCUGGUUACCACUAUAAUUCCUAGUGGGUCAUUUAUAGUAUAUCAAAAAUAUGUUAGGAAGUUUAAAAUGUGUAUCUCUAUUUGAAACACUUCAAUAAAGUUCAGUGACAAGCAUGGCAUUGCACAGAAACCUCAAUUAUUUUUUAACGAUAUGGCAUGUAAGAAAGAGAAUAUCAAACUUUCCAGUUGUUGUAAAUCUCUGUGGUUAACAGUAGUGUAUGCCCACAUUGAAAAGGAAUGAGGUAGAAUUGUUGGAACAUUGAUACAGCAAGUCACAAAGACAAUAUACAAUAUAGGGACUUCAACCUUACUGUACUGUUGGUCUUACAAUUCAACCAUGCCAAUACACAAAACUUAUAAAUGUUCAAUCAUGGAAUCAGUUCACAUGAGAAUUUUGUAUAAUUAACCCUUGCCAAUACACAAAAUUUAUAAGUGUUCAAUCAUGGAAUCAGUUCACAUGAGAAUUUUGUAUAAACCAUCACAGGUAAAUGAGAAGAAUUAUAGGGAUCUUCCUCCCCAAAAAGGUUUUGGAUUUAAGUAUAUUUUAACAUUAAUUGUUGGUGGAGCAAUAUUUAACAUUCAUGUAACAUGUUAAGGCUUUAUAUCUAAAAUGAUUCUUACUAACAUUUUACAGAAAAGUGGCAAAAAAAUAGAAACUAGUUAUAAUAAAGUUUGAUGUAGUCUUUAACUUUUCACAUAAAUACAUUUAGUCUGUAAACCAACGAAUUAACAAAAUCUUGACAGAAGAAUUUUGUUUAUCAUUUAUUAUCCAACUAUUCAUAUCGUUGAAAAUAUAUGAGGUGAACUUUGAUAUAUAUAUAUAUUUGAUCAUAUUAUAGAUUUGAUUAUACUGCAUAGAACCUUUAAUGAAUAAAUAAGCUGAAAUUUCCCCCAAAAAUAAAAUUAAGAAUUGUAAGAAGUGGAUUUAAGGGCAUGAAUUGCCCUGCUAUAAAUAGUUUGUCUAGAUGUUGCCUAUAUUUUCUAAAUGUAAAAUCAAAGACAUUUUCUUCCCAAAGCUCAAAUUCUGUAAAAAAAUAUUCAUUUACCUUAGUGGUUUACACGAUCGGCUAACAAAAGAGAUGUCUUCUUCCUUUCUCACCAUAAAACAAUAGAUGGGUGGUUAUCAAACUGAAUUGUUCAAUUUUUUGUUUUGUGAUUUUGAUUUUUUAUUUAAUUUUUAAAUCUGAAAAUAAUCCAAUGUUUCUCCUAAUUCGACCAAGAUUUUAAAUUUAAUAAAUCCCCCAUGCACAUUGGAAUUGAAAUUUUGCAGUUUCCAAAGAUAAUUGAAUUUAGUGAUAGGAAAUAGGACUAGUAUAUAUACUUCAUGUAGCUAAUGACACACAAUAAAUGUUUUUUGGCAAGCAAUACAAUAUUUUAGGACUUACAGUGAAUCAAAUGAUGGAGUGGGAGACAGGAAACUGACAUUUCUUUGUUUGCCGAUGUACACUGAUGUAAGUGAUUCCAUACUUCCAUUCUAGUUAAUACACAUGUACACAUUGCUGUAAAUUGGUAUUUUAACAAAUAAUGCAUAAGACAAAUACACUGUUCAUGUUUUUAACACUUUUCAUAGCAGAAAUAAACAAAAAAUAGUCCUAGUAGAAACACAACCUUCUAAUACAUGUAAUAUGUAUAUAUUUUUAAACAGCAAUUUUUCACUUUAAACCCAAAACAUUCAACAGGCUCUUUAACUGGAAAAUAUAUAGGUACAUUUACAAUUUUAAUUUAUGGUCAUGGUUGAAUAAUCAUGAAUAAUAUUAUUGAUUUUAAAAACUUUGUAAUGAUAUCUUGUUGUUUUUUGUAAACCAGUUCCAUUAAUGGCAUCUCAUACAUUGUGCUUUUACUAUUACAUGCAACGAACCAUGACAUUUCUAACAUAAAUACAAACAACCUUUGUGAUUAAUAAAAGAAAAAUAACAUAUAAUUAAAUAUACAGAUGCUUAAAAAUAUUACUGAAAAAAUCUAACAUUUUUGCAAGAAAAAAAACCUUGCAAUGAUACACCUAUAUAUACAAAUAGUGUAUACAUCUCUUAAUAAAUAUAAGCAUGAAUUGAUAAGUUUGAGGAGUGUAGGACAAGUGUAAAGUUCAGUCUAGUUUGAGGACUAAUCCAUUAAAUCUGGCAUUCUGACAAAAAUCUCACACAGACAUAUAUUGUCUACCACUAAUUGAAAGUACUUGUUUCAGAAGAUUCCAGUCUAUAUCAGAGUAUACUUUCACAUGGAUGAUGGUGGGUGGUAAAGGGUUAUUUUCGUGCAACAUGUUUUGCCAUUUUUAUUUCACGUGCAGCCAAGAAAAAGGUUCGUUAUUCACUGUGUUUCGUGAAAUCAGUUAAAAGAUC